GGCAGUGGAGCAAGAAUUGCUUUUGGUCUAACAAUUGUCAUUCCUUUCUUCAGCCUGCUCAUCAAAGACAUCUACUUCCUGAAUGAGGGCUGCGCCAACCGCCUUCCCAAUGGACACGUCAACUUUGAGAAAUUCCUGGAGCUGGCCAAGCAGGUGGGGGAGUUCAUCACCUGGAAACAAGUGGAGUGUCCCUUCGAGCAAGACGCCAGCAUCACCCACUACCUGUACACCGCCCCCAUCUUCAGUGAGGAUGGUCUUUAUUUGGCUUCUUACGAAAGUGAGAGCCCAGAGAACCAAACAGAAAAAGAAAGAUGGAAAGCUCUAAGAUCUUCUAUUUUGGGGAAGACAUGAAAGCGCUGAGCUGAGGGACGAGGAAGAGCUGGAGCCCGCAGAAGCCGUCCACAGCCCUGCCUCAGUGGCCCAGUGGGCAGAGGCCAGGGAGUGCCUCACUAUUUUGCAAAUGCCGACCCUGUGGCCUGCUGCCCGCCCCCCCCCCCCCCACAGUGGCCAUACGGGCACA
rnacentral:lncRNA from 1 species